GCUGGCGGCAGGCCUAACCAUGCAAGUCGAGCGGAAACAGGGAGCUUGCUCCCCGCUGUCGAGCGGCGGAAGGGUGAGUAAUGCAUAGGAAUUUGCCCAGUAGUGGGGGAUAGCCCGGGGAAACCCGGAUUAAUACCGCAUACGCCCUACGGGGGAAAGCAGGGGAUCUUCGGACCUUGCGCUAUUGGAUGAGCCUAUGUCGGAUUAGCUGGUUGGUGGGGUAAAGGCCUACCAAGGCGACGAUCCGUAGCUGGUCUGAGAGGAUGAUCAGCCACAUCGGGACUGAGACACGGCCCGAACUCCUACGGGAGGCAGCAGUGGGGAAUAUUGGACAAUGGGGGCAACCCUGAUCCAGCCAUGCCGCGUGUGUGAAGAAGGCUUUCGGGUUGUAAAGCACUUUCAGUGAGGAGGAAAACCUUAUGGCGAAUACCCAUGAGGCUUGACGUUACUCACAGAAGAAGCACCGGCUAACUCCGUGCCAGCAGCCGCGGUAAUACGGAGGGUGCAAGCGUUAAUCGGAAUUACUGGGCGUAAAGCGCGCGUAGGUGGUUUGAUAAGCGAGAUGUGAAAGCCCCGGGCUUAACCUGGGAACGGCAUUUCGAACUGUCAGGCUAGAGUGUGGUAGAGGGUAGUGGAAUUUCCUGUGUAGCGGUGAAAUGCGUAGAUAUAGGAAGGAACACCCAGUGGCGAAGGCGGCUACCUGGACCAACACUGACACUGAGGUGCGAAAGCGUGGGGAGCAAACAGGAGUUAGAUACCCUGGUAGUCCCGCCGUAAACGAUGUCUACUAGCCGUUGGGACGCUUGAAGUCUUAGUGGCGCAGCUAACGCACUAAUGACCGCCUGGGGAGUACGGCCGCAAGGUAAAACUACAAAUGAAGUUGAACG
rnacentral:rRNA from 1 species